CACGUAGGCGGUCUCGUAAGUCAGCUGUGAAAUCCCCCGGCUCAACCGGGGAACUGCAGCUGAUACUGCGGGACUAGAGUGCGCGAGGGGAGAGCGGAAUUCCUGGUGGAGCGGUGAUAUGCGUAGAUAUCAGGAGGAACGCCGGAGGCGAAAGCGGCUCUCUGGCGCGCAACUGACGCUGAGGUGCGAAAGCUAGGGGAGCGAACA
rnacentral:rRNA from 1 species